UACAGAGGGGGCAAGCAUUGUUCGGAAUUACUGGGCGUAAAGGGCGCGUAGGCGGCCUGUUAAGUCGAACGUGAAAUCCCCGGGCUCAACCCGGGAACUGCGUCCGAUACUGGCAGGCUUGAAUCCGGGAGAGGGAUGCGGAAUUCCAGGUGUAGCGGUGAAAUGCGUAGAUAUCUGGAGGAACACCGGUGGCGAAGGCAGCCCCCUGGGUCAAGAUUGACGCUCAUGCACGAAAGCGUGGGGAGCAAACAGG
rnacentral:rRNA from 1 species